UACGGGGGGGGCAAGCGUUGUUCGGAAUUACUGGGCGUAAAGGGCGCGUAGGCGGUUCGCUAAGUCGGAUGUGAAAACUCUGGGCUCAACCCAGAGCCUGCAUCCGAAACUGGCGGGCUAGAGUUCUGGAGGGGGUAGCGGAAUUCCAGGUGUAGCGGUGAAAUGCGUAGAUAUCUGGAGGAACACCGGUGGCGAAGGCGGCAUCCUGGACCGAUACUGACGCUGAGGAGCGAAAGCCAGGGGAGCAAACGGG
rnacentral:rRNA from 1 species